rnacentral:rRNA from 1 species
GACGAACGCUGGCGGCGUGCUUAACACAUGCAAGUCGAACGAUGAAGCCGGAGCUUGCUCUGGUGAAUUAGUGGCGAACGGGUGAGUAACACGUGAGUAACCUGCCCUUGACUCUGGGAUAACUGCGGGAAACUGUAGCUAAUACCGGAUACGACCCUCGGAGGCAUCUCCUGGGGGUGGAAGGAAUUUCGGUCAAGGAUGGACUCGCGGCCUAUCAGCUAGUUGGUGAGGUAAAGGCUCACCAAGGCGACGACGGGUAGCCGGCCUGAGAGGGUGACCGGCCACACUGGGACUGAGACACGGCCCAGACUCCGACGGGAGGCAGCAGUGGGGAAUAUUGCACAAUGGGCGCAAGCCUGAUGCAGCAACGCCGCGUGAGGGAUGACGGCCUUCGGGUUGUAAACCUCUUUUAGCAGGGAAGAAGCGAAAGUGACGGUACCUGCAGAAAAAGCACCGGCUAACUACGUGCCAGCAGCCGCCGCGG